GUUUCCUACGGGAGGCAGCAGUAGGGAAUCUUCCACAAUGGGCGAAAGCCUGAUGGAGCAACGCCGCGUGGGUGAAGAAGGUCUUCGGAUCGUAAAACCCUGUUGUUAGAGAAGAAAGUGCGUGAGAGUAACUGUUCACGUUUCGACGGUAUCUAACCAGAAAGCCACGGCUAACUACGUGCCAGCAGCCGCGGUAAUACGUAGGUGGCAAGCGUUAUCCGGAUUUAUUGCGCGUAAAGAGAACGCAGGCGGUCUUUUAAGUCUGAUGUGAGAGCCUUCGGUUUAAC
rnacentral:rRNA from 1 species